ensembl:rRNA 5S_rRNA 5S ribosomal RNA
CCCAUGAUUCAUUGUUUGUGCAUACAUACCCGAUCUUGUCUGAUCUCAGAAGCUAAGCAGGGUCAGGCCUGGUUAGUACUUGGAUGGGAGACCACCCAACAGUUUAAUACAAAUGUGU